UAACUGUGUUUUCAUCCAACAGAUUUCACAUACUUCAAAAUGUGAUACAUGAAAUGGUUUUCUAUCUUAAAAAUACCUUGGUAACAAAAGUAUUAGUUUUGAAAUGUUUAUUAAAAUGACAUCAAGUCACUCUUAAUUAUUGUUCAAAACUCUUAGAUAUCUUACAAGACCAUUUUUACCUUCUUGAACAAAACUAUAUCUAUACACUUAUGUUCUUAUAUAUGUAUUGAUGUUAUAAUUUUCAUCCUUCAUUCAGUUUCCCACACUCUUGUGUAGCAAGGGUGUAUAAACCUACUUGAACAACCGAUUACCUUCCAGUUACUGUCAUAGGGAUAGUUAGAAGAUACAAAACAGUAUUCCUAUGACAAGGAAUUACAUCAGAGUCAGUUCAUUCAUGAGUCUAUACUAUACAUUACAUGUUACAUGAAUAUGCUUACAUGAAUACAUUACAUGAGUACCUUUACGUAGAUACAUUUACCUGUAUACACUUACAUGAAUACUUGUAUCUCGAUUCACGAGGAUGAUUUAUUAGUACCUUCUGUGUAAAUUGUCCUACCUAUCCCAGUUCAACGGGAUAUCUAGACGGGACUGACCAUUCCGAAUCCCAGCUGUUAGCAACAAUGGUUNAUGCCUACGGUUAUUACUUAUACUAGGAGUGCCUUUACGAGACUAACCAUUUCGUGGGCCUACUGUUCGCUAUAGAGGUUGAUGAACAUCUACGGAUGCCUAUGGUUAAUACUUAUACUAGGAGUACCUUUACGGGACUAACCCUUCCUCCCCCUACU
rnacentral:lncRNA from 1 species